GUUCCCUGAUCUCACUAGUCUCACCAAGUUAAAAGAACUAAGGAUCAGUAGUAACUACUUCACAGGAAGGAUGCCUGAGUUUGGCAAUUUGAAACAGCUUCAGAAGUUGAUGAUUCUGAGGUUUGCUAUCAGUUUUCCUCUAGAAUAAAGGUUCAGUCAGCAAUCCAGAGCAAUAGUAGCAGCAAGGCAUCUCUUGCUGAGGGUGUAUUCUUGGUUGGAUGAUGCUAUUGAAUAAGUUCUCAAUUUUAGGGGGAGUAUACUUCUCAAUUUGAGAGAUUUUAUGUGACCAUAUCUAAUAAUUGAAGUUUUGCAG